UUAUCCCCCAGUUCAAACCUAGCCUGGCCAUAACGUGAGUUUCCAAGGAAACAGAACAAAAUGCUGAAUCAAAAGAUUCUGUGUCCCAUCAUGCUCUUGGCAGUGUGCACAAGGAUCAAUAGAUUAUUACACUAAAGGCUCACCCCAUGCUGAGGACAGCGCUUGCUCUUGCACAGAAUAUUUUACAGCCAUCUGCUGGAGAAAUGACACCGCUACCAAGCAAGAGAAUUCAGUUCUAACAAUGGCUACAGUACUGCCAGUCAUUUCAAGUACAAGCCCUCUGCUCUAAGACACAGCUAGGUGAGGUGGAAAUGAAUUACUGCACAUUACAUUACCUCACCCCACAGCAAAGCUGAUACAUAAAAUGGUGUUCAUAAA